rnacentral:lncRNA from 1 species
UAACCAGAAAAACAGGGACAUCAACCAGCAAAGAUGCAUCCUCAUUUAAUAGAGCUUGAAAUUACUAUAAUCUGUAAAGUACAGCGAGAAGAAGAAGUUUCACCUGCCUGCACAUCUGUCGUUGACUCUCCAUCUGACUUGGAGGGACUCUGAGGGACCAACCUGAGCCUGAGAAGAGGCAAGAUUCCCCUUCAAGGACACACUGGGAACUUACGGACCUCUUUCUCCAUGGUGCAGAGCGCAGAGGCUACCUGAGAAUAUCCAGAGACUACAGAGGUCAUCAAGUUGACGCAUCAAUGUUUACAUGUGAACAAACAGACGCAUAAUAGCUCUUGAGCUUGCCAUUGGGAAGUGAAAAUCAACUGCUUGAAUAAAUGUAAGGACUCAGUAGAGACGGGGUUUCACCGUGUUAGCCAGUAUGGUCUCAAUCUCCUGACCUUGUGAUCCGCUCAUCUCAGCCUCCCAAAGUGCUGGGAUUACAGGCAUAAGCCACCCCGCCCGGUGGGACCAUCUUUUGCUACUUCAGACAUGGACCUAUGUCUCAGCCUAGAAGUGUGGAAGAAUGAACCUGGAUCGUUGAGUAGAAGGCACAUCACGCAAAACACUGAAACUGCCUUUGCAAAAAUCAGGGUAGUGAGAGAAGGUCUUGCAUGACUGACUCCAUCUUGCCUCAAGCCUCACAAGCCAGCUAUCUUCACUCAUUCCUGAGCACAGGCCAAGCUAACCAUGGGAGGAAUUUAUAGUUUAACUUAGAGCAAGGAUGACAAUAGUCCCUUCCUAAAACUAAUUCCUCCUUGCUCAGGGACCAAAAACUAAUGAAAGGCCUCAAGAUGAGGAUCAUGGGAGGAGUCUGAAUUCUGCUAAAAUGUAGGCAGUUUCUAUCAUCCUUACUACUCAGGAGUCAUGUGGCCAGAGGUCACAAGAUUUGAGCCUUCCCCAGUUGCUCCUAUGGAUAACAUCACUACUGUAGAACCUAAGAUUGGUCUCUUGAGAUGUUUUUCAGACCUCUGCAUUCUGGCAAUCAACUGACCUCACCUGGAAUCACGAGUCAUGACUGAACCGGUCCUGUGGCCCCACCUGGGGAUAAACUCAGCACACAAGGAUCAUUUUCCACACCUCUAUGAUUUCAUAGGCAACCAAUCAACGGCACCCAUUUUUUAGCCUCCUGCUCGCCAAAGCAUCUUUGAAAAAUCCUAACCUCCAAGCCUUCGGGGAGACUGAUUUGAGUAAUAACUCUGUUCCCUGCAUGGCUGGUCUAGUGUCAAUUAAACUCUUUCUUUACUGCCAUACCAUAGUCUCAGCGAAUUGGUUUUGUCUGUGCAAUGGGCAGGAAGAACGUGUCUGGUGAGCAUCUCCACACAUUCAGAAAUUGUCCAUCUAAGACAAUGGAGUUAUUUUCACCCUCAACAAAUGCCUCAACUCUGUGACAUUUUAAGCAAAUCUUAACUUUGACUUAUGAAUUCAAGAAGGAAAAAAAAAAA